ACAGGAAAAAUGCCAGCUGUGGAACCAGGAGUGCCGGCCGCACGACCUCAGCGGGCACUGGGGGGAUGUGGCGGUUCUACACCGAGGAUUCGCCUGGCCUCAAAGUUGGCCCUGUUCCAGUAUUGGUUAUGAGUCUUCUGUUCAUCGCUUCUGUAUUUAUGUUGCACAUUUGGGGCAAGUACACUCGUUCAUAGAUGCAGCUACAUCCAUCUGUCUUUCAUCUGAAGAAGGAGGAAAAAUCCCAGCGUAUCUUGGACCAAAAGCAUAGUGAUUUUUUUGUUCAUGAGAAAGAAAUUUUCUGUAAGCUUACUGUUUCACAGGGAACUUAAUGAGAAUUGACUUUGAGGAAUCCAUUUUGUUUCUUUUUGGCUAAUAAACUUUUUAAUUAUUUUAUAC